rnacentral:rRNA from 1 species
UACAGAGGGUGCAAGCGUUAAUCGGAAUUACUGGGCGUAAAGCGCGCGUAGGUGGUUUGUUAAGUUGGAUGUGAAAUCCCCGGGCUCAACCUGGGAACUGCAUCCAAAACUGGCAAGCUAGAGUAUGGUAGAGGGUGGUGGAAUUUCCUGUGUAGCGGUGAAAUGCGUAGAUAUAGGAAGGAACACCAGUGGCGAAGGCGACCACCUGGACUGAUACUGACACUGAGGUGCGAAAGCGUGGGUAGCGAACAGG